UACACUCCUGCGGGAGGCAGCAGUGGGGAAUAUUGGACAAUGGGCGCAAGCCUGAUCCAGCCAUGCCGCGUGAGUGAUGAAGGCCCUAGGGUUGUAAAGCUCUUUCACCGGUGAAGAUAAUGACGGUAACCGGAGAAGAAGCCCCGGCUAACUUCGUGCCAGCAGCCGCGGUAAUACGAAGGGGGCUAGCGUUGUUCGGAUUUACUGGGCGUAAAGCGCACGUAGGCGGACUAUUAAGUCAGGGGUGAAAUCCCGGGGCUCAACCCCGGAACUGCCUUUGAUACUGGUAGUCUUGAGUUCGAGAGAGGUGAGUGGAAUUCCGAGUGUAGAGGUGAAAUUCGUAGAUAUUCGGAGGAACACCAGUGGCGAAGGCGGCUCACUGGCUCGAUACUGACGCUGAGGUGCGAAAGCGUGGGGAGCAAACAGGAUUAGAAACCCGAGUAGUCC
rnacentral:rRNA from 1 species